rnacentral:lncRNA from 1 species
CUCACCACGGGGCUGUGCUCCUUUGAGGCAGGACCAGCCCGACACAAAUCACAGCCUCCCCCACACCUCACACUGCCGGGCACUAAUCUAAACUCAAUGUGUGCAUAUUUUAGGGAAUAUUAGGCACUAUAUUACCCGGGGUUUAGUUGACACUUUACUCCCCUCAGUGACUGUAAAUCCACCCAUUCUAAUGGCACUGUUCUUAGCUAUUCAGGAUGAAACACCCACUCCUCUCCUGAAACCUUCCGUCCCUCAUCCUGACUCGCAGUUCACAGAGGAAAGUGCCAUACCCGAGGUCCUCUGUCAAUUACAAGGCUAAAAUGCACUAAAAGAAUCACCAAGGAUGGCAGGGCACAGUGGCUCAUGCCUGUAAUCCCAGCACUUUGGGAGGCCAAGGCGGGUGGAUCACCUGAGGUCAGGAGUCUGGCCAACAUGGUGAAACCCCGCCUAGUGACCGCCACUGCACUCCAGCCUGGUAAAAAUUAGCCGGCCAUGGUGGUGGGCGCCUGUAAUCCCAGCUACUUGGGAGGCUGAGGCAGGAGAAUCACUUGAACCCUGGGGGUGGAGGUUGCAGUGAGCCGAGAUCACACCCCUGCACUCCAGUCUGGGCGACAGAGUGAGACUCCAAUUCAACAACAACAACAAAAAACACCAAGGAGAAAUGUUCCACACAAAGGAGGAGAAAGAAUGGGAAUGCAGAAUUCCACUGGGGCUCCUCUAUCCUGUUGGGGUGCCUUAUCACGCACUGACACAGAGGGGCUGACCUCCCCUCUCCCUGCUCCCGCCGCGCGUGGGCACCUGGCCUGGGCGUGGCCUCCAGGGCCUCUCAGCUAGACUACAAAGCUGUUGAAUACAGAGAAUUAAGAGCACAGUGCUCACAGGGCAGUGCCCAGCAGUGGCCUCAGAAGCACUGACCGGCUGCUGGGCCUCCUGUUCCUGGGCUCUCCAGGCGACUUUGGGUCCUAACCAUUUUCCAAACCUAAGCCUCCCAUUUCCCGGGACUCUAUGAGCCCCUCGUAUCUUUCCAAUACGUUUCUUUUUUCUUUGUAACAGAUUCGGUUUUCAUUACUUGUCACUGAAAAGUUCCUAGCUGAUAUGAAAUUCGGUACCAGGAGUGGGUAUUGCAAAUUAUGGAGAAAAGGGGAGAUAAGGAACGUCUGCGGUUGGUUAUCUGCCUUAGAGAGGAGAGAAAAGAGCAAAUGUUCUGAUGAUAUGCAGAGACAGGGACGGAGCAGCCCAGGAAGUUCGGUAAUUAGUUCGCCAAGAGGUGCCUGGGAUGUCAUGCCCGCUGCAAGCCCGGCUCUUGGAGACUGUUGCUUCCAUCCUGAGAUCGUAUGGCUACGAGAAAUCUGAGGCCAUAGGCGGGUGACUGCUUUUAAUGGCGCUGAAAAACUUAGAGAAUUAGAAGUUCAAAUCUCUAAAGUCUGAAUUCAAGCCACAGACUGAAACCUAAAGACUUCCUAGAACAACAUGGAAUUUCAUCCCUUACAGAUGCAAGGCCAGGAUGUCUGAAAACCCGUCUUAAAAGUCUGAGCCUUUGGCUGGGUGCGGUGGUUCAUGCCUGUAAUCCCAACACUGUGGGAGGCCAAGGCAGGUGGAUCGCUUGAGUCCAGGAGUUCAAGACCAGCCCAAACGACAUGGUGGAAACCCUGUCUCUACAAAAAACACGAAAACUAUCCAGGUGUGGUGGCAUAUGCCUGUAGUCCCAGCUACUCAAGAGGCUGAGGUGGGAGAAUUGCUUGAGCCCAGGAGGUAGCAGUGAGCCGAGAUCAUGCCAUAUAGCACUCCAGCCCG